rnacentral:misc_RNA from 1 species
GAUGAAGAACGCAGCGAAAUGCGAUAAGUAAUGUGAAUUGCAGAUUUCAGUGAAUCAUCGAAUCUUUGAACGCACCUUGCGCCUUGUGGUAUUCCACAAGGCAUGCCCGUUUGAGUAUCAUUAAAUCAUCAACUCUAAAACCUUUGUGGUUUUUUUAGAGCUUGGUCUUGAGGGUUUUGCAGGCUUUUUUUUUUUCGAGUCUGCUCCCUUUAAACGCAUUAGCGAGACUUCCCUAUGCUGAACCGUCUCUUUGACGUGAUAAUUAUCUGCGUCGAAUUUUGGUUCUCGUUGGGCUUGCUUCUAAUCGUCUGUUAAAGACAAAACGGAUUUGGGUGCAUAUAUGCGCCUUUUUCCAAAACCUUUUUUGAUCUCAAAUCGGGUAGGACUACCCGCUGAACUUAAGCAUAUCAAUAAGCGGAGGA